rnacentral:rRNA from 1 species
AAGUCGGAAUCGCUAGUAAUCGUGGAUCAGAAUGCCACGGUGAAUACGUUCCCGGGCCUUGUACACACCGCCCGUCACACCAUGGGAGUGGGCUGCAAAAGAAGUAGGUAGUUUAACCUUCGGGGGGGACGCUUACCACUUUGUGGUUCAUGACUGGGGUGAAGUCGUAACAAGGUAGCGCUAGGGGAACCUGGCGCUGGAUCACCUCCUUA